AGCCACACCACCCUGGCCAUGUCCAAUCUCAUCUGAUCUCAGAAGCUAAGCUAAGGGUUGGACCUGGUUAGGACUUGGACAGAGAACAAACUGGGAAUACCAGGUAAAGUGGCUA
rnacentral:rRNA from 1 species